UACGGCCACAUCACGUUGAAACAUCAGUUUCCGUACGAUCACCGAAGUUAAACAACGUCGUACCUCAUCAGUACCUCGAUGGGUGACCGCUCGGGAAUACCAGCUGCUGUAAG